ACUACGUUUGUGUCGAGGUGCGCCAGUACGCUAAAAUUUGACUUUCUGUGGGAUAAAACGGCCAAAACGACAAGCAGUAAUAUGCCUCGAAGACGUAGCCCAAGCCCAGGUUAUGUGGACCAUCACAGAAAAAGACGACAUGAUUCCAGAAGCUAUGACUAUGGCUAUGAGAAGAGAAGAAGAAACCAUUCCAGGGAUCGCUCCGCCACCCCAGACCGGCACGUCCAUCGUCACCACAGAGACUCUGACAGCUACUCACCACAUCGGAACAGCUACCACAGUCGCCAUAGACACCACAAGCGGCGGCGACAUCGGAGAAGCUACCGUCACCACCACAAGUCCACCUACAGCUCAGCCUCUAGUCGGAUGAAGUUGUUUCCACCCUAGGAGAAGGCACAUUUGGCAAAGUCAUUGAAGUCAAAGACGUCCAGAAGGGAGAUGAAAAAUUGGCAUUAAAAAUCAUCAAAAACAUAGAAAAAUACAGAGAAGCUGCCAAACUGGAAAUAAAUGUUCUCGAGAAAAUCAAAGAAAAGGACCCAGACGGGCAGUUCCUAUGUGUUCAGAUGAAGGAGUGGUUUGACUACCAUGGACAUAUGUGUAUAGCAUUUGACAUGCUUGGUCUCAGUGUUUUUGAUUUCCUGAAAGACAACCAUUACCUCCCCUACACAAUUGAUCAAGUGAGACACAUAUCAUACCAGCUGUGUUAUGCAGUCAACUUUCUGCAUGAAAACAAGCUGACACACACUGACCUGAAACCAGAAAAUAUCUUGUUUGUCAAUUCCGAUUAUGAAGUCUCGUACAACCCAAGGAAGAAACGAGAUGAGCGCAAUAUCAAAAACACAGAUAUCCGACUGAUAGAUUUUGGUUCGGCCACGUUUGAUCAUGAACACCACAGUACUAUUGUCUCAACCCGCCACUACAGAGCUCCAGAGGUCAUAUUAGAGAUGGGAUGGGCCCAGCCCUGUGAUGUGUGGUCCAUUGGCUGUAUCAUGUUUGAACUCUAUACAGGCUUUACAUUAUUCCAGACACAUGACAACAAGGAACAUUUAGCAAUGAUGGAGAGAAUUCUGGGCACUUUGCCAUACAGAAUGAUCAAGAAAACCAAAACAAAUUUUUUCUGGCAUGGGCGCCUUGAUUGGGACCCCACCUCCUCUGCAGGCCGCUAUGUAAGGGAAAACUGCAGGCCGCUCUAUGUAAGUAUGCUGCCGACUGAUGCCUGUUGCCUGCCUGCCAGUAUAUCAGCACCAGUCAUUUCAGGAGUUGCCUGCCCCUGCUCGCCCACUGUUUUUAAGUUGUAUUGCUCUGUCCUUGACAUGGAGAUAUACAAUAGUGGAUCCCCACGACCAAUGAAACUUUCUUUUUUGUGUAACUGUGGCAGCAUGUCCUUAUUUCUUACUAAGGCUAAUCUUUGUGCACCUAAUAGAAAGCCAGAUGUCAAGUUUUAAAUGCAAGCUUUGCUAAAAUGAAGCAGUGCUUACAACUUUUAACUGAAGUUUACCAUUUCAGAGGAAAUCAAGUGGAAUUUGAAUUUUUGGCCAGUGUCGGGAUUGGCAGCAAUUUAGAUGAAAUUCAUGCUGUAAUGAAAAAAUGGCUUUCUAAUUGGUAGCUAUCUAGAAAACAAUAUAUUAGCCUUGGUUCAACAUGGCCUGUGCAUGAGUUUAUUUAUGUUGAACAGUAGAGCAGUGCAUGAUUUGUGUCUGAUGAUAGCUUCUGUUUGUCUUUUGUUUGGAACCUACAGAAAAUACAAGUAUUUCUACAAUGGUAAACUCGACUGGGAUCAGAGAAGUUCUAAAGGAAAAUAUGUUCGUGAAAAUUGCAAGAGGUUAAAGGUAGGGAUGUUUACAAAAUGGAAAGGAGAAACUUACUGAAAGAAUUUUAUCCCAUCUGUUUCUAUUCAUAUGAUCAAUUUGCUAUGAAAUAAUUUUUUUUAUUAUCUUUUAACAAGAAAGAUUUAAGAAUUUGUGUCUUGUUUGUUGUACUCUCUGUUGUAGAAAUGACAUUUUUCAUUGGAUAAUAGUUUGAUAAUUUGAUAUCAAUUUAUUCAUUGAUUAACACUGCUUAUGUAUUCUAUUUCAGUGAUCAUGAGAAAGCACUGUCAAAAAGUGCCUGUGAUCCAAUAUUGUUGCCACAGAUUCUGUGGAAGUUGUUGAAAUACUUCUAUUUUGAUGCAUGAAUAGGCUACUCCAUAGAUUAAGAACACCCAAAUAUUGAUAUACUAAUAGAUUUGAUGGUGGUAAAAAAUAAUUUGGUGUACACAGUGUUAUGUAGAGUACACAACAGUUGAUGACCAUGCUUGAAGUGAAGAUUUGUAGAACAAACUAAUGGCAUGAUGCUAUCCGUAACAAUACAAAUAUGAUCAAAUCAGCUGAGAUUCUGUUAUUAAAGACUGAUGCGACAUAAUUGAAAACAUCUAGAUGAUGAGAUGCUUGUUCAGUUAUAAUGGAUUUUCAGUUCUGUUGUAUUUAUCUGUGAAUGCCAGCAACAAGCAGUUUGUGUGUGUUUUAAGAUUGACUGGUCAAAGCUUGUUGAAAUUUUGAGGUAAAUACAUUGCCUUUUUUUCAAUUACAAUGCAUUACUUUUCCUGUAAUUAAAUUGAGAAAAAAGAAAUUAGGAAAAAUUAAAGAAAAACUAGCAAAAGUU
rnacentral:misc_RNA from 1 species